rnacentral:rRNA from 1 species
CACUCCUGCGGGAGGCAGCAGUGGGGAAUUUUGGACAAUGGGCGCAAGCCUGAUCCAGCCAUGCCGCGUGCGGGAAGAAGGCCUUCGGGUUGUAAACCGCUUUUGUCAGGGAAGAAAAGGUUCUGGCUAAUACCUGGGACUCAUGACGGUACCUGAAGAAUAAGCACCGGCUAACUACGUGCCAGCAGCCGCGGUAAUACGUAGGGUGCAAGCGUUAAUCGGAAUUACUGGGCGUAAAGCGUGCGCAGGCGGUUAUGCAAGACAGAGGUGAAAUCCCCGGGCUCAACCUGGGAACUGCCUUUGUGACUGCAUGGCUAGAGUACGGUAGAGGGGGAUGGAAUUCCGCGUGUAGCAGUGAAAUGCGUAGAUAUGCGGAGGAACACCGAUGGCGAAGGCAAUCCCCUGGACCUGUACUGACGCUCAUGCACGAAAGCGUGGGGAGCAAACAGGAUUAGAUACCCUAGUAGUCCCA